UACGAAGGGGGCUAGCGUUGCUCGGAAUCACUGGGCGUAAAGCGCACGUAGGCGGCUUUCUAAGUCAGGGGUGAAAUCCUGGAGCUCAACUCCAGAACUGCCUUUGAUACUGGAGAGCUUGAGUCCGGGAGAGGUGAGUGGAACUCCGAGUGUAGAGGUGAAAUUCGUAGAUAUGGGGAGGAACACCGGUGGCGAAGGCGGCCAUCUGGACGGAUACUGACGCUGAGACGCGAAAGCGUGGGGAGCAAACAGG
rnacentral:rRNA from 1 species